rnacentral:rRNA from 1 species
UACUAAUCUGCGAUAAGCGCCGGUAAGGUGAUAUGAACCGUUAUAACCGGCGAUACCCGAAUGGGGAAACCCAGUGUGAUUCGUCACACUAUCAUUAACUGAAUCCAUAGGUUAAUGAGGCGAACCGGGGGAACUGAAACAUCUAAGUACCCCGAGGAAAAGAAAUCAACCGAGAUUCCCCCAGUAGCGGCGAGCGAACGGGGAGGAGCCCAGAGCCUGAAUCAGCAUGUGUGUUAGUGGAAGCGUCUGGAAAGGCGCGCGAUACAGGGUGACAGCCCCGUACACAAAAGCGCAUGUGCUGUGAGCUCGAUGAGUAGGGCGGGACACGUGGUAUCCUGUCUGAAUAUGGGGGGACCAUCCUCCAAGGCUAAAUACUCCUGACUGACCGAUAGUGAACCAGUACCGUGAGGGAAAGGCGAAAAGAACCCCGGCGAGGGGAGUGAAAAAGAACCUGAAACCGUGUACGUACAAGCAGUGGGAG